rnacentral:snoRNA from 1 species
UACCGUUUGAUUACACUCUGGGACCCGAUGUUUUGAGAAAUUGUGCCGUUUAGAUUGCUUUUAUUAUUUAAAAGAAAUUCCUUAUCUUCAUUUAUUUUCAAGACUUCCUUUAGUAUUGGGUUCCAAUUUAAAAUUCAAACUAGAUCAACUUAGGCAACUACUCACCAAGAUACGACAUGAAGUUCUCUGAAUGCUAUGUUUAUAUUGGUCCAUUUCAGUGCCAUACAC